GACGAACGCUGGCGGCGUGCCUAAUACAUGCAAGUUGAGCGCUGAAGGUUGGUACUUGUACCAACUGGAUGAGCAGCGAACGGGUGAGUAACGCGUGGGGAAUCUGCCUUUGAGCGGGGUACAACAUUUGGAAACGAAUGCUAAUACCGCAUAAAAACUUUAAACACAAGUUUUAAGUUUGAAAGAUGCAAUUGCUUCACUCAAAGAUGAUCCCGCGUUGUUUUAGCUAGUUGGUGAGGUAAAGGCUCACCAAGGCGAUGAUACAUAGCCGACCUGAGAGGGUGAUCGGCCAAAUUGGGAAUGAGACAAGGCCCAAAAUCAUACGGGAGGCAGCAGUAGGGAAUCUUCGGCAAUGGACGAAAGUCUGACCGAGCAACGCCGAGGGAGUGAAGAAGGUUUUCGGAUCGUAAAACUCUGUUGGUAGAGAAGAACGUUGGUGAGAGUGGAAAGCUCAUCAAGUGACGGUAACUACCCAGAAAGGGACGGCUAACUACGUG
rnacentral:rRNA from 1 species